rnacentral:misc_RNA from 1 species
UAGGGAGACCUAAUCCAUUUAGAAAUCGAAAACAAUGAAAAUUGUCAAUAGAAACUAAAUUGGUCUAACCUAGGUCGUUCGAGAUUGGUAGACAUCUUUCAAAGUAUUAUUCGGCUUCGUUCAAAACCAUAUAUAAUAAAUGGAAAAAGACAGCACCUAAUUGUCAAAGUUAGACUGCUGGAUGAAGUUCCAGCCAGAACCUUGAAAACUGCAUAAGAGAACAAGAAAAAGCAGGCAGACACAGACAUUUAGAUGGAUGUGAAAGCAAAAGAAAUUGU